rnacentral:lncRNA from 1 species
AAUAUCAAGCUUCAAUGAUUUACUUCAGUAUGUAUAUGAAACGUAUUUAUUACCGUCACUAAAUAAAUGUCUUGAAUGUGGUCAGAUGGGUCAUUUUUUUGUUUUGACAGCAACGGAUUAUAUCACCCUCUGCUACAGAUGGAAGAAAUAAGCACAGUUAGAAAAGCAACAUGUGUGAGUGAGACUAUAUUGCACUGCAAUAGCAUUUAGACAUUAAUACUGAAUAAAAAAAACUAGACUGCACAGAUUUUAAAAUAGAAAAGAUUUAUAACAGUAUGAAAUAAGGUUACACGUGAAGUCGACACAAAUCAUGUCACUUCAUGACUUUUAAAAAUAAUCAUCUUUAGUGUAAGUACACGGAUCCUCUAAAUAAAAUAUAUCAGCUUUAGCUUUCUAAAAGCACAAUACAAUUAAUUAUUUUAAACAAUCAUGUUAACAAGCUGAAGCUGUGAGAAAAAAAGCAGAUGAGCUUUUCUGGAGCUUCUGUAGCAUCAUGAAUGCUUUUUCUUACUGAAUUACACACAUCUUCUGUGCUGCUAGUUUCCCCUUCGAGCCCCAAUAACAUGUUUUACAGCCUCCAGGGUUUGCUGUGUUGCAGCCUGGAAUUAAACCACAUCAUGCUGGUUUCGUCUGGUCACCUGUAUAUAGUAAGCAUCGUCAAUCAGCUUUUAAGAUCACUGUUUUAGUACAUUAAGGCACCUCAUAUGUUUUCCAUAUUAAGCGUGUUUUUUUUUUUAAUGUUUUCAGUGAUUGAGAUACUGCAGCAGGUGCUCUAUAUAUGGAUCACAAAACUGUCUUUUUGUUCACAUGUUUGUUUUUCUUCUUUGUACAGCUGAUCUACAUGUGUGUGAAGCAGACAGUAAGCAGACAGGCCUGUGCUGCAGCUCUAUGGAUGUUUUGUUCUCCAGGUCUCAUGUGACUGAAAACUAUAGAUCAGAAGCAACGAUCACCUUCAGAAUCACCUUUGUGACGAGGCUCAUCUGCUAAACUCUGCAUUUCUGGAGCCACCUGCUUUCUCAUCCAUGUUCUCUUGAAUGUGUUUCAUGCACGUUAUCAAUAAAACCAGAUAUCUUUACCCAUCCUGACAUUGGUUUCUGAGCGGCUCUGUUUCGUUUCAGAGUUUGAACCGGCUGAAGAUUCAAACAGAUUUCUGUUUCCAGUGGCACUUUGCCCAGAUCCAGUUUCUCCCAGCAGAACCGGCCUGAUCUGGUCUUUGCUCUCAGGAAUCACAUCAGUCUCAUCUGGAUCUUCAGCUGAAACUACAACAGAAAGAUCAAAUCACUCAUGCGAUCACGAUGUUUAAUCAGAUCGCUCAUUGUUCAUUCAUUCUCCAAUUCCUCUUGUGAAC